CCUACGGGAGGCAGCAGUGGGGAAUAUUGGGCAAUGGGCGAAAGCCUGACCCAGCAACGCCGCGUGAAGGAAGAAGGCUUUCGGGUUGUAAACUUCUUUUGUCAGGGAAGAGUAGAAGACGGUACCUGACGAAUAAGCCACGGCUAACUACGUGCCAGCAGCCGCGGUAAUACGUAGGUGGCAAGCUUUGUCCGGAUUUCCUGGGUGUAAAGGGCGUGUAGCCGGGUUGACAAGUCAGAUGUGAAAUCCUGCGGCUUAACCGCAGAACUGCAUUGGAAACUGUUGAUCUUGAGUACUGGAGAGGCAGACGGAAUUCCUAGUGUAGCGGUGAAAUGCGUAGAUAUUAGGAGGAACACCAGUGGCGAAGGCGGUCUGCUGGACAGCAACUGACGGUGAGGCGCGAAAGCGUGGGGAGCAAACAGGAUUAGAUACCCGUGUAGUC
rnacentral:rRNA from 1 species